GAGUGUCUGGAGACAGAGAACUAUCCUUUCUUAUAGGAAUGGAAACAAUGGAGUACAUCACGUUCAGCCUUGAAGCUUUGCUGACUGAGGAAAGCCUGACUUUUUUUUGCCUCACAGAGCACACACCAGGAUUCAGGAGACAUGGUUUUGUCCCAUCACUGUCACUACCUUGGGAAUAUCCCUUGACCUUGCUGGAUCUCAGUUUCUUCAACACAGAUUAUAUAGCACAGCCUGCUUUAGAGGUUUCUGAGGAAAGAAGUCUGGCUCAGCACAGCUUGUUUGGGAGAUGGCGGGUAACAAUCAGAUUUCUAGAGAAAGACCUGGCAUCUGGAUGUGGCUGCUGUUGCUGAUGAGGAAAAAUGGAAAGUAAGAGUGUCCUGGGGAUGUUUACCAGCAAUCUGUCCUUAGCAUCAUCCUGAAAUGUUGAACCAGAUCAGACACCAGAAUGCUUAUAGAUGUUAGGAAACCAAAAUAGGUUUUAAGUAGAGAAAAAUAAAGUUGGAUCUAUUUAA